rnacentral:rRNA from 1 species
AGCGAACGCUGGCGGUAUGCCUAACACAUGCAAGUCGAACGGCAGCACAGUAAGAGCUUGCUCUUACGGGUGGCGAGUGGCGGACGGGGGAGGAAUACAUCGGAAUCUACUUUUUCGUGGGUGAUAACGUAGGGUAACUUACGCUAAUACCUCAUACGACCUACGGGUGAAAGCAGGGGAUGUUCGGACCUUGCUCGAUUGUAUGAGCCGAUGUCGGAGCAGCUAGUUGGCUGGGUAAGGGCCCAACAAGGCGACGAUCCGUAGCUGGUCCGAGAGGAUGAUCGGCCACACUUGAGCGGAGACGAGGUCCAGACUCCUACGGGAGGCAGCGGUGGGGAAUAUUGGACAGUGGGCGGGAGCGUAGUCCAGCCAUGCCGCGUAGGGGAAGAGGGCCUUCGGGUUGUAAAGCACUUUUGUUGGGAAAGAGAAGAAGCAGGUUAAUACCCAGCUGUUCGAACGUAACCCAAGAAAUAGGCACCGGCUAACUUCGU